ACAGUAUGUGGGAAAUAAUGUGUUUUUUGAACCUUAAACAGCAUAAACACAUUUCAUUACACCAAAUAAUGUUCUUUUUUAGCAAAGUCAUAUGACCCCUUUAAUUAUCGCAAUGAGGUGUGAACGCACUUUAUAUUCCGGUCCUGUGGAGGGCAGCACAUCGAGACCGACCCAAAGACGAACGUUUGUUUGUGGAAGUAACAAGUCUACAAAACGCGUCCAGAUGACUUACACUACUUGUGUUCUGGUUAAAGACCGUGUUCCGCUGGUUAUGAAGAAGAAGCAGCAGCAGCAGCAGCAGCCCGUCACGGAUGUUUCUUCACGCGCUGGUCUCGUGUUUCCCGUCAAGCACUUUCAGCAAGCGUUCGGCGACGGAAAGCUCCCGCGGGCGCUCGACGAGGAGGCGGCGGUGUUCCUCACAGCCGUGGUGGAGUUCCUCGUGGCCGAGAUCUUGACUUUGGCGGGACAAGAUGCUGUACUUAAUCAGUCUAAUAAGAUCACGAUACAUCAUCUCCCUGGACUGCAGGACAAAAAGAGAUACGCAAAGUUGUUGGAACUCUGUAAAGAAGAAGAAGAAGAGGAGGAGGAGAAGGAGGAAGCGUAACGUUAGCGCCGUAGUUCACUACUUUUGUUGACUGACUGACUGAAUGAGUGAUGCACGAACAUUUAUUACAUCUUCAGCGUUGUUUUUCAUAUGCACACUGACUGUACAUAUCUUUCUCCUCUGCUUUGCGUCUCAAAGCUCUGCUUUACUGCAUUUGUGCAGUCUGUGAGCAAACGUUUUAAACUUGUAUCUGAUGGAAAUAAACUUAUUCGCAUAUUCUUCGUACGUUGCUCACUCCUUUAACGUUAGUUGGAUUUGAUUGUUGAUGAUUUGGCAUGAUCUUAGAUUGUUUGGUUCUUCGAGGCUCAUCUCGGAGUUGUUGUUGUUAUUAUAGAUCAGUGCAUGUAAACAGGAUUAGAUCGCAUCUUUUUAAGCAGAAUUGAUACUUAAAAUCUGCCCCAGCCACCGCUACUUUAUUACAAGAGCAUCUUAGUAAACCAGGG
ensembl:lncRNA